rnacentral:tRNA from 1 species
GGGGGUAGAGCUCAGAGGUAGAGCAUUUGCCUAGCAUGUGCAAGGUCCUGAGUUCAAUCCCCAGUACCACCA